GAUGAACGCUGGCGGCGUGCCUAAUACAUGCAAGUCGAGCGAACAGACGAGGAGCUUGCUCCUCUGACGUUAGCGGCGGACGGGUGAGUAACACGUGGAUAACCUACCUAUAAGACUGGGAUAACUUCGGGAAACCGGAGCUAAUACCGGAUAAUAUAUUGAACCGCAUGGUUCAAUAGUGAAAGACGGUUUUGCUGUCACUUAUAGAUGGAUCCGCGCCGCAUUAGCUAGUUGGUAAGGUAACGGCUUACCAAGGCAACGAUGCGUAGCCGACCUGAGAGGGUGAUCGGCACACUGGAACUGAGACACGGUCCAGACUCCUACGGGAGGCAGCAGUAGGGAAUCUUCCGCAAAGGGCGAAAGCUUGACGGAGCAACGCCGCGUGAGUGAUGAAGGUCUUCGGAUCGUAAAACUCUGUUAUUAGGGAAGAACAAAUGUGUAAGUAACUAUGCACGUCUUGACGGUACCUAAUCAGAAAGCCACGGCUAACUACGUG
rnacentral:rRNA from 1 species